CCCAUUUCCUAUUAAGCUCUCUGCUUCCUGGCCAACCAGAAGGUGAAUAAUCUGCCAAAGCGCAACCGACACCAAUGCCUUGGUCUCCCCUGGGGAACAGGCUAUAUUGCCCGAAACUACAAACCAGCGUGAAUCUCUCCUCCCUUAGCUGAUGCUGUCAGGCAUAUAGUCACAGUGACAUACAGUUGACUAACACUCAUGUGUCAAUGUCUUAGGUGGUUGUACAAACACAUAUGUGGGGCAGAGAGGAUCUCAGCUCCUCAACCAUCUGAAGCCUGUUUCCAACCUUCCUCUUAAGCUACCCUAGUGGGAUCUAUGAAAGCCCCAGCGUCUAACACAACGCCGCGGGGAGGAAGCAGUAACGAAUCAUAAUUAAGAACACAUCAGGUUCAGAAGUGUGUUAAGAAAUUGACUGGAAGGUUAUAAAAGUCAUAUGGAAGUCAUAGCCCAGAAGAGGCACCACCACCUUGAAAAAGAACAAAUGUGGAAGAUGAUUAUUUCCCGGUUUCAAAACUUAUAGUAAUCUUCCUAUGGAGACCUGCAAAGAAUUGAUGAUAUAGGGUAAACUCACACAUUACGGUCAAUUUCAGACAAGGAGAGGAAUCCGUACAUUUGUUUGUUUGUUUGUUGUUUGUUUGUUUGGCUUUGGUGCUGGGGGUUGAACCUCGUAUGUGUUGAAUAAACCUUCUACCACUGAGCUACAUCCUUGUCCCUAAGUUUUCACAUUUUAUUUAGACAUGGGGCCUCACUAACUUAUCCGUGCUGACCUUGAACUCAUUCUGUAGCCUGGGCUGGCCUUGAACUUGUAGUUCUCCAGCCUCAGCCUCCCAAUUAGCUGGGAUUUCAGGACUUGUGACAUAUUCUAUUCAACAAAUGGUGCGGGGACGGCUAAAUGUCUAUGUGCAAAGGAGUAAAGUUGGACUCUCUUCAGCCCCAUACUCCUCCCUCAAAAUACUAUGUGUAGUGCAGUAUGCGUG
rnacentral:lncRNA from 1 species